CUGUGAGCAUCACAUUUUCUAUCUCAGGAGGGAAGCCAGCGAAACCUCAUCUUUCCACAAUGAAGGCCAAGAUCUUUGCCAUCCUGCUUCUGUUUGUUGCUUCAGUCGACACGCAAAACACUACAUCUGCGUCAACCACAGCUGCUGCGCCAACCACAACUACAGCUGCUCCAAACACAAGUGCUGCGCCAACCACACCUACAACUACAGCUGCUCCAAACACAAGUGCUGCGCCAACCACAACCACAGCUUCUGCGCCAACCACAACCACAACUGCUGCGCCAACCACA